GAGAGAGAGAGAGAGAGAAAUUAAAAGAAGUCAUUCAAAAGUCUUUUAAAGGAAAUGAGACCAAAUACAAGAAGAUUUUUUAAAUCAUUGACAAGAGAUGGGAAUCCAUUGCAUGCAACUGGCCACUUUUUGAAUCUAGAAUUUUUUUUUAUAGCAAUCCAACAAUUGAGUUUGAUAAAGAGGCCUUUAAAGAAUUGUAUGAAUGCAUCCAAAGAUUGGUUCCAAGUAUUGAUGUGCAAGAUAAAAUCAUGACUGAAUUGUCAAUGUACAAGAAAGGUGAAGGGCUUUUUGCCAUUCCCAUGGCUAUUAGAGAAAAAAAAAAACACAAAGUCCCUAGGCAAAUUUCUAGAUACUAGUUAACUAAAAACACAAGAAAGUUGCUUAUUAAUAUUGCUAAUUGUUUGCACUUUUGCAAUAUCACAGCUGAAUGGUGGAGUCUGUUUGGAAAUUCGGCUCCAAAUUUGUAAUGAGCUAUCAAAAUUUUGAGUUUGACUUGUAGUUCAUCUGGCUGUGAACGUAAUUGGAGUGUAUUUGAGAAUGUAAGUGACAUUUUUUCCAUGAUCCCUAUUGAAUACUUUAAUUUGAAUCAAUAAAUUCAAUAUCUAAUACUUUAUUAUAUGUAUUUACAAAUAUUAAUGUAAUUAUUAAAAUGUAACAAAUUCACACUAAAAAGAGAAAUAGGCUUGAGCAUCAAAGCUUACAAGAUUUGGUGUAUAUUAAGUACAAUCAAGCUUUGAAGGCUCGUCAUGAUUUGCGAGAUAUAAUUGAUACCAUAUCUCUAAAUGAUAUCGAUGAUUGUAAUGAAUGGUUGAUUGGAGAGAAGGGUACUAACAGUGUUCAAGUUGAAGAUGAAUUGGUUUUUGUUGAUGAUAAUUUGACAUGGGGUGAUGUGGCUAGGGCAUCCGAAGUUGGGGAAACGAGGACAGACACCAAACAACAACCAAUAUCUGAACCAAAUAUAUCAAGUUCAAGAGUAGUAAAUAUUCAAGAAGAAAAUCAUUCAGAGGAAGAUUAAGGACUAUAAAUUUGAUGAAAAGGAAGAAGAGGGAUUGGAGGAUGAUGAUGACGAUAUGGUGGAUGUUGAAGAAGACGAUGAUUAUAGAACUAGGAUUUCGAGUUUGCAUGACAUAAUGAAUG
rnacentral:misc_RNA from 1 species